rnacentral:tRNA from 1 species
GCGGCUGUAGCUCAAUGGGUAGAGCGUCCGUUUUGCACGUGGGAGGUUACGGGUUCGAGUCCCGUCGGUUGCA